rnacentral:lncRNA from 1 species
CUGCUAUAAUGAAUUGAGACCCCCCCACUCUGCCGCUUGUGGUGUUCCACGGCUAGUUUCCUAUUUUUCCUUCCCAUACCUUCAUAUAAUAUAAGACACCCAUCAAGCCAAGGUUUAUAAAAUUUAUAAAUGGAAGUAUGAAUCAAUGACGAACAUUGAAGAUGGAGCUAAAGCCACAAGCUUCAAUUAAAGAAUGCAAUUACCACAAUAUCAUAAUUUUAUAAGCACACCACUUACAGAAUUUCAUAAACAUACCACAAUCAAUCUUCUACUUUGAAAGAUGCAUACAUAGAGAGAAAGGAAGAUGAUAAUAAUGGAUCAACUAUCACUUUUGUUGGUUGUUUUAAUCAGAAAUGUUGUGUCUUGCAUCAUAGCUCAAUCUUCCAACUAUACAAAAAGAAAAUGUGUGUUUCA